CAAGACUCCAUCUCAAGAAAAAAAAAAAAAUUAGCUGGGUGUGGUGGCACAUGCCUGUAGUCCCAGCUACUUGGGAGGCUGAGGUGAAAGGAUCGCUUGGGCCUGGGAAGCGGUGAUUGCAACGCUGCACAUCAGCCUGGGUGACCAAGCGGGACUCUGUCUCAGAACAAAACAAAACAAAAAUACAUAUUCCCAGAUCCUGGAAUGUCCUGGGAAGCUAUAUGUGUGUCAUGCCCUCCCAGCUGCACCUGAACAAUGAGCAUAGCAAACAUCA
rnacentral:lncRNA from 1 species